rnacentral:lncRNA from 1 species
CCUCUACAAAACAAAGCGCUCCUUCGUAUGCCCACUUCCCCUCAAACAAUGGGAGACCUUUUACAGCUGAGAAGAACUCAAAAUCCACUUUUAUUCUUACUUUCACUAAUCCUUUAAAAACACAUCUUACCUCCUCCCCAUAUCCCGUUUCUAUCUUAUAUUUCCUACUCAGAAAAAUUGACAUCUUAGCUUGUCCCCCCAAAAAAUUUAACAGUUGACAUUUUCUUUUCUGUUGCUUACUAUAUUGAAACCCCAAAAUAAAAACAGUGUUAUUGAAAAUCUCCCCUACAGCUUUAAACAAAGACUCCAGCAUUUCCAGAAGGUGACUGUUGACCCAGGGUUUAGAGUGUUCCCUCAGCAGUAGAAGGUGACUGUUGACCCAGGGUUUAGAGUGUUCCCUCAGCAGUAGAAGGUGACUGUUGACCCAGGGUUUAGAGUAUUCCCUCAGCAGUAGAAGGUGACUGUUGACCCAGGGUUUAGAGUAUUCCCUCAGCAGUAGAAGGUGACUGUUGACCCAGGGUUUAGAGUAUUCCCUCAGCAGUAGAAGGUGACUGUUGACCCAGGGUUUAGAGUGUUCCCUCAGCAGUAGGUGACUGUUGACCCAGGGUUUAGAGUGUUCCCUCAGCAGUAGAAGGUGACUGUUGACCCAGGGUUUAGAGUAUUCCCUCUCAUACACUAUGGCUUUUUUUUAUGUCUCUUGCCCCAUUUACGUUUAAAGAAGAAAUCU